rnacentral:rRNA from 1 species
CCUUUGUACACACCGCCCGUCGCUACUACCGAUUGAAUGGCUUAGUGAGACUCUCGGAUCGGGUUUUAGGAACCGGCAACGGUACCUUUCUUCUGAGAAGUUUGUCAAACUUGGUCAUUUAGAGG